rnacentral:lncRNA from 1 species
UGUGGUUUUCUAUCAAUUUCAAUAUGAAUAUACAUUUAGUAUGUUAUGAACAUUUAAGUAAGGAGCCUGUACUUCAGUGGUUGUCGUUUGUUUAUGCGUUACAUAUUUGUUUUUCGUUCAUUUUUUGUACAUAAAUAAGGCCGCUAGUUUUCUCGUUUGAAUUGUUUUACAUUUUCAUUUCGGUGCCUUUUAAAGCUGAGUAUGCGGUAUGGUCUUUGCUCGUUGUUGAAGGCCGUACGAUGACCUAUAGUUGUUAAUUUCUGUGUCAUUUUGGUCUCUUGUGGAGAGUUGUCAACAUGGCAAUCAUACCACAUCUUCUUUUUUUUGUAAUCAA